CAGAGCUGGAACUCUCCAGAGUUAGCAGAGGUCUAAGACAGUUUCAGGCCAUGUCCUGUGAUGGCUCUGAGCUUUUAUACCUAAAUCCACUGGUCUCCUAGUAGCAAAAGAUUAAGAGUUAUCUUUGCAGUUUCUGUCUGUGUCCAGGACCAGGAGGAGGUGUGGAAUGAGAGAGAAUGUCCGUGGAUCCAUUUUGAAAUGUGUUUCAAGAUAAUAGGUCUAUUGCAGACUGGAUUGCGGCAUAUCAGCACUUUCAGAACAAAUACAUGUGCCAGAUGUCCACAAACAGCUCUGAGAACAACGAAUGAGUGAAUUGUACAAGUCAACAUCCUUGAGUACCCUGUAUUUCAAUGCAUGAAAUCCUAACCCUAUAUAACUGUUUAUCUUUUCAUAAAGUUGUUCAUUGUAGAACUGAUCCAAGAGAACUCUGAGAUUUAAUAAACACAUUUUGUUUCAAAAUAA